CCGCUGGUGGUGGACACCAUCUGCCGCGACUGGCGGCUGGCAGGCAACGACGACGGCGCGCGGCUGGUUCCGGAGUCCGGCUUGCCGGCC
rnacentral:tRNA from 1 species